rnacentral:ncRNA from 1 species
UAACAUGCGUGGGCGGCACUCCACAACAAUGUCGUUCACAGCAGCAAAGAAGGAGGAAUCACGUUUCCCUGGGACUCGGGGUGCGGCAGUGUGGAGACCUGUCGUAAUGCGGCGCGCCGAAACGGCGGCCGCGAGAACGUCGACGGCGGAGGCCCGGCGUUUCAGAGUCGUGGAAGUAUGGCA